UUACACGUGCAUAAUUAUGUGAACUAUAGUCAGCAGAAAUAAAAUACGUUUAACCCUGUUGAUUGCACUUAACAGCAGAGGUAGAAAUAACACCUCUUGAUUGUCCUGAUAAGUUGUCCUAGCAUAAUAGCAUUUUGUUCUGCCAUCAGGUGAUAUUGGUCUAAAUUACCCAUGCAAUGUCUUAGUAAUCAAGUAGGGUUUAGGUAGCCUCGAUUCCAGGGCAAGUUGUUUCUAGCUAGGCCGACAACUAUAGGCCUGGUGUUGUGUGCGUACACGGAGCUAAUAAUAGAAAUAUGACAGGAAACAAAGUGUGAAGAAUCUCUGCUUUGGUUUCCGGUUCCGGUUCCUGCCACGCCCAGAUACAAUCAAUACCAGGCCGUAUUUUUCAACUUCGUUCUACUAAAAAAAAAUUGGCCUGGGACCGAGGCUAGGGUUUAGUUAGAGCUUACCAUUAGUCGAUUUGUCACUCUGCUACAUAGCUACAUAGCUAUAGGCCUGCUCUUGCAAUGAACAACAUAGCUGAUAUAAUUAUGAGUGCGCAUUAUGUUCAUCAUAACUAUAUGACCUUUGACUUUCACUCUGUGCAUGCUAGGACACUAUCACUGAGCCAGUAUAGUUAAUAGUCAGCUAAUUGCGACCGACUGUUAUUUAUACCUCUGCAUGUAACAAUACUUGUGGCUUGCUCUUACGUAUAAUUAUUAGUAGCAUGCUUGUGGGCAAAUGUAGUUUCUCUUUGUGUGACACCUUAUUAUAUGGGUGAAAUGUUCCUGCGUGUUGAUGGCACUUAACACUAAACAAUACUUGUGGCUUGCUCUUCAUACCGUAUAGUGGGUAUAGUUUAUGAGGGUAAAAUUAUUAAUGAAAUUUCGCGAAAUUACCGUUAGAAUAGUUUUUGCGCAUAUAAUUUUUGCGAAAUAGCUUGAACUUGCAUGAGCUCCACACGCGACCUUUAUUCGAGGUAGAUCUACAUGCAGCUAAAGUGAUCCUUUACGUACCAGUCUCUUUAUUAUUGUAAAACUGAACACUCUAUUCUCCUGUCAACAGCCGAGGGUUAGCACUUCUAGGGUGUAUAGUAACUUGUAGGCCAUAGACUACUGCCAUAAUUAUAGGGAAUAGCUCAUUGUGUUGACCUUUCUAUGCAUAUAUACAGUUAAGCAAUUUGAUAUGCUAUACGCUAUAAUAACACACUGCAAUUUUGUUCUGCUGUGUACAGUAGACUCUCGCUAUUCCGGCUCUCUGAAGUACGGCCACCUCGAUAUACCGGCCAUUUGGCUUGGCACGGAAUGCUAGCUAUUAUGUUUACUGCUCACCCUGAAGAACGGCCACUCGCUAUUCCGUUUACCGGCCAGUGCUGGCUGUCCCAAACAAGGUUUUCAAUGUAAUUUUAUACGUAUAUUACGGCGGAUAUGACGUUUUAGGUGUGGUUUAGCAAAUAAAAUUGGAUUACUACUUUUGCGGUUCUUGUCUCGAGGAUAAUGUAGGAUAAUGAAUCAUUCUGUUCUCUAUUUAAGUGUAAUCCAAUUUUAUUUGCUAAACCACACCCAAAACGUCAUAUCCGGCCGUAAUAUACGUAUAAAAUUACAUUGAACCUUGUUUGGGACAGCCAGCACUGACCGGUAAACGGAAUAGUGAGUGGCCGUACUGGUAUAGGGCUUGCACUGGUCACUGUUUUGCAUCGUUAUUAUAGUAACUUGUUAGUGUAUAACAAUUAAAACAUGAGUGUAUAUACGGAAACCCAUGUGGUGGUAGCUAUAAUAAUUAUUAAUUAUAAAGAGGAUGAACGUUCUGAUGAUCAAAGAGUUAUUCAAGUGUAUCUAGCCUGUAUACAUGCACUGCAUGUUUUUUGUAUACCAGUGCUUUUCCGUAUGCAAAUAAUUGUCAGUUUAUCUAUAAUAAUUAUGAGCUAUGGUUGUACCUAUAAUUAUAUGCUGUAUCAAGGAAUUAUUGACUGCUGAAGGUGGGAGAGGGCAUGCAACUAUUAGUAAGCAUCUAUCCAACAUGCUCACCGAAAAUUACCUAAGAGUGACACAUACUUUUCCACGUAUAGUAUAUAUACUGUGUAUUACCCGUAUUUUGGAAUGAUAGUAGCUAUAAUGGAUUGUGCUAGUGAGUUCAUGACUCCAGUGAUGAGAUAUAGACGACAGAGGACUACGUCAUCAAGUCUCAAGCUCAUGAUCAGUGCGAGUAUAAAUUAUUAUAGUGAGGAAGUACCAGCGUCAGAGUACCACCAUUGCCACUUAAAAAUCAUAUCAGGAGGGGUUUGCUUGCCAAAUUAUAUAUAGGGGUAUAGGGCCAAGGGACUGUUGAGUCAAGGAGGUCUGAAGUAACUGGUAAGUUCCAUAUGCAGACUGUUAUAUACAUCGUAAAAUAGUAGUGAUCACUAUUAUUUUACGAUGUAUAUAACAGUCUGCAUGUAUAAUAAUAAUCAGAACUGAAGAGGGUCACUACCAUUGAAGUAUAAUUUUUUAUAUAGAAAGAUCUGAGAGUGGCCCUAUAAUUAUAUCUUGGACCAUUACCAAGAUAUAGCAGUUAACGGUUUCUGGGGAAGCACAUUCGAAAGAACAUACUUUACUUUGAUGUUCUCCUUGACCAGACAUGCCCAACUUUCGUCUGCGUACAGAAAACAUAAACACAUGUAGAAUUUAGAAUAACACUUAAUAUUUAGCUAUAAUAGCAACAUCAUUUGAAUGCAUUUUCUCCUUUACAUUAAUUUUCUCUCAACAUUUUUAUCUCUCUAGUAAAUACACAUGAUCCUUGCCAGAACGCAAUAGUUAGAUCGCAAAGGGUCAACUUUUCUGCUGGUUUGGUUCAUUCACAAAGGUUUUUCACCAGCAAAUAUUCUAGUAAUACGGUAUAUAUGGCAAAUCUAUUUGCUAUCAAAUGCUGCCCACUACUGUGAAAAAUCUCUCAAUACAAGUAAUAUAGUUGUGACACACGAAAAUAUGCCCAUCUUGAAUAAACGCCCAUCCCCUCUUUUGCUUCAAAGUUCUUGCACGAGGGAAUUUUCACUCGAUUAUAAGAAUAAAGAGUUGAGCAUGCGCAGUAGCUGAAUGCCACAUGCUCACUAUUAAUUUUAGUGUCUGACAGAAGAAAUAAAGUUUUAGGUAGUAGCUAGUAAGAUCUAUAGAGUAGACUAUAAUUAUAUACUCUUUGCUGGACUAUAAGAUCAAACAUAUAACUUUCUCUGUAUGGAUCUGUUUGACCUUGAAGAUGUAUAAUUAUGCAGAGAACAAGUAUAGUCGUAUAAUAAUUAUGCUGAGAAAGGAAAACACAAAGUCCAAGAAAGUUAUCACACAUGCAGGCUAAUUUUGCAAGUUACCUUGCCUUGGUUUUUUGAAACAAAGUACCUGAUAGCUAUAUACUCUGUAUAGGAGUAUAUGUCCUACCAUAUCCUUUGGGAAGUUUCUGCUAUACAUCUGACAUCGGCAAGCAUUGAAUAGAGGAAUAGAGUCAGAGUUCACUUCUUCAUGUUCAUUAUCUUGUCAUGCUUUAAUCUUAAUUAUUAUUCAUGCAUUAGUUUAUAACAUUGUUGUCAAUAUAAAAAUUAAUGUUCAUACUAUGUAUUUAAAUGAAAAUACAAUAAGAUUUGUCAUAGAGCGAAGUGUAAACCUCGAUUUGAGGCCGCGGGUGGGCGUAUAUUCGAAUGAAAACUCGCCGUUUGCGAUUAAACGCCCAGUCAGGACUCUAAUAAGCCUAGACUUCUUGCUGGGCGUAUUUUCUCGAGGGUACAGUAUAGCCUCCUUCACUGGCCUCCCCUGAAGAGAAAAAAACGAAACUGCAUGCCUUCAAUGUGAGUUUUUUUAUGUAGACUAGCCAGAGCGAAGCUUUAACGUUGCUUGAGGCUUGUAGAAACUCUUGGUUUCAGAGUCUUCUUAAUAAUUAUAGCCUAGCUUGCUUAAUGCUUAGCACUAUUCUAAAUCAGUUAUAUGCCCUUAGUAGCCCCGGCCCUCGCUAUAUGCUUGGGAUGCUACAGCCUCAGGCCUUCGAAUCUCAAAACCAAAGACCUUGGACUCAGCCAAUAUUUAUGACGUUGUAACGGAUUGGAGUUGCACUCGCCGAAUUUCUUGUUUCUACACUUUUCAUGCUUUUCCUGCCAAUCUUAUACGUUCACAAUGUUUCACAGUGCAAAAUUAGUUUUUUAGUUCGAUUUCCUUUCUUUCUUCAGUACAGAAGUAUUAUACGUUUCGAAAAUGUGAAAAAAUACCUAAGAGGAAUGUCAAGAAGCAGAGAAGAGAAGACAGGACCCAUUAUAAUUAUGAUAAAAUGACAGCCAUGUUUACUGCAUGUAUAUAGAUGUAGUUUGAAGAGCAUUGUUCAGGCCUUCAUACAGAAAAAAAUUGACAGGGGGGAGAAAAUCAACAUUUCAGAAAAAUGGGAGGCUCGGCGAUUAUCCGUAUCUUGGGGGAUCUGCGAAAUUGUUGUGUUUAGAGACUGUCGUGCAUCGCAUCUUAAUUCAUUCUUAAGAGUUAUUAAGUACUAAUAGUAUUGUGGAAUGUCAUAAAAAAUGCAGAAAUUUAAUUGCGAAUGGCACUAUAGAUAAAAGCCAUAGCCUGAGCGACACAAGCCUUUCUCACUAAAUGAAGGUCGCUCUUAAUUGAAUCGCCCUCUGUACUUAUACAGAUAUAGUGACUUCGAAGAAGAAAUUGUGGACGUAUGGAACAGAAAGAGUAUAUAGAAGAAUAGCAGUUUAAUUAAAGUAGCUUCGUAAAGAACUCAUUAUUGUUGUUAUAAAACACUCUUUGUUUGGUUGGUGUGUAGCAGGCCGUAACACAGUGCGUUAUGGCCUAUAUUUUCAAUACAAUUUCCAGGGGGGGGCGCUCAUUCCCCCCCCCUCUAUGAAGCCCUGGUGUUGCAAGAGUAUAUGGAGGCCUAACCCAGUGUCUAGUAUGGUCGAUCUAGCCAGUGCAUACAUCUAGCAUAAUAAUAAUUAUAAUUAUAGCAUACAUUACCUGAGGUGAUAAUAGAGAGUUGAAGGUUAUACUAUAUAUACACUUGCACUGUAUCACAGCCACGCACGUGCUAUGUGACAUUGCUGGGCAGUCAUUUUAAAGAUGGUGGAAUUGAGUAGAUAUAAGAAAAGUGGAGCCUUAUGGAGGUACUAUAAUUAUAUACAACUGGUGCAACUAGAGCACUAAAGUGCAAACCCUCGGCUGGUGACAUGACAUGAUUAUAAAGAAACCAGAAGAGUUAUAUAAUGCAGUGCAUGUAGUGAUGAAUAAUUAUCAUGUAUGACUUAUUGAACUGUGUAGCACAGCAACUCAGGAGCUAAACUAGACUGGAGGCAUGCUGAAACAUUUGAGAACAGGGUAUUUAUAUGCACUGUGGACUAGGAUCACAGCAAAGAAGCCUGGAGUCUCAUGCAGAGAAGUAUGGCUCCUGGAGUAGGAUCCAGAGUCACAGAGACAAACCAGACACAAUUCUAGCUUUCUAUCAUAUCGACCCUUUUCCACAAACAAUCAGUAAUUAUUGGCUUAUGUUUCGAAUAAUAGCUGCGUUUAGUAGUACGCAAAAAGCUUCUUAGAUUUAGCUCGCCUUUUCUGCGAAACAAAGACUUCUUUGCAAAAUCUGCCAAAUUUUAAGCCUUAGUUUUAAUGCUACAAGUUUCCCUACGUACAAAUUGUGAUGCCUAAAUCACCAGACAGACUGACAGACUACUGUAACCGAGGCCGCCUACGCGCCUCAGGUUAACAACAAAACAUAAUGACUUAAGUAGUGAACUGUAGGUGUUGUUCUGUAUAAUUAUUUCUUUUGUGCAAUAGGAACAAUAGGUGUCUCCUGCCAUGAUGUAACCUCUGGAGAACUGAUAUUCUAGACCAUUCCAGCAUAACUAUAUAUGUUUUGUAUUUAGACUACAUUACAUCGUCUGUAAUUGAUCUGAUUGGCUAAAAACAGUAGAUUACAUGGAAGCAUAAUCUACAAGAAGGUACUUGUUCUACAGGAAAUGGGCGUAUAUUCUACAGGAAGUGGACACAUAUUCUACAGGAAAUGGACGCAUAUUCUACAGGAAGUGACAAAUAAUUUGCAGGAAGUUCUCAAAAGUUGAAAUGAAAUUUUUAGUGAAAGUGACAAGAAGAUGACAAAAACAUUAUAAAAACACAGAAUGCAAUAGUUUGUUCAGUCAAUAUUCAUUCUUUCCAUGUCCACUGUUGCUUUGUA